GAGACAGCAGUCGCCGCGGUAAUACGGAGGGUGCAAGCGUUAUCCGGAUUUAUUGGGUUUAAAGGGUCCGUAGGCGGAUCUGUAAGUCAGUGGUGAAAUCUCACAGCUUAACUGUGAAACUGCCAUUGAUACUGCAGGUCUUGAGUAAAUUUGAAGUGGCUGGAAUAAGUAGUGUAGCGGUGAAAUGCAUAGAUAUUACUUAGAACACCAAUUGCGAAGGCAGGUCACUAAGAUUUAACUGACGCUGAUGGACGAAAGCGUGGGGAGCGAACAGGAUUAGAUACCCCGGUAGUCCCUGUCUCUUAUAA
rnacentral:rRNA from 1 species